rnacentral:rRNA from 1 species
GCGCACGGGUGCGUAACGCGUGGGAACCUGCCCUUAGGUUCGGAAUAACUCAGAGAAAUUUGAGCUAAUACCGGAUAAUGUCUUCGGACCAAAGAUUUAUCGCCUUUGGAUGGGCCCGCGUAGGAUUAGAUAGUUGGUGGGGUAAUGGCCUACCAAGUCGACGAUCCUUAGCUGGUCUGAGAGGAUGAUCAGCCACACUGGGACUGAGACACGGCCCAGACUCCUACGGGAGGCAGCAGUGGGGAAUAUUGGACAAUGGGCGAAAGUCUGACGGAGCAACGCCGCGUGAGUGACGAAGGCCUUCGGGUCGUAAAGCUCUGUUGUUAGGGAAGAACAAGUACCGUUCGAAUAGGGCGGUACCUUGACGGUACCUAACCAGAAAGCCACGGCUAACUCCGUGCCAGCAGCCGCGGUAAUACGGAGGGGGCUAGCGUUGUUCGGAAUUACUGGGCGUAAAGCGCACGUAGGCGGAUCGGAAAGUUGGGGGUGAAAUCCCGGGGCUCAACCCCGGAACUGCCUUCAAAACUCCCGGUCUUGAGUUCGAGAGAGGUGAGUGGAAUUCCGAGUGUAGAGGUGAAAUUCGUAGAUAUUCGGAGGAACACCAGUGGCGAAGGCGGCUCACUGGCUCGAUACUGACGCUGAGGUGCGAAAGUGUGGGGAGCAAACAGGAUUAGAUACCCUGGUAGUCCACACCGUAAACGAUGAAUGCCAGUCGUCGGGCAGCAUGCUGUUCGGUGACACACCUAACGGAUUAAGCAUUCCGCCUGGGGAGUA